rnacentral:rRNA from 1 species
GACGAACGCUGGCGGCGUGCUUAACACAUGCAAGUCGAACGGAAAGGCCCUGCUUUUGUGGGGUGCUCGAGUGGCGAACGGGUGAGUAACACGUGAGUAACCUGCCCUUGACUUUGGGAUAACUUCAGGAAACUGGGGCUAAUACCGGAUAGGAGCUCCUGCUGCAUGGUGGGGGUUGGAAAGUUUCGGCGGUUGGGGAUGGACUCGCGGCUUAUCAGCUUGUUGGUGGGGUAGUGGCUUACCAAGGCUUUGACGGGUAGCCGGCCUGAGAGGGCGACCGGCCACAUUGGGACUGAGAUACGGCCCAGACUCCUACGGGAGGCAGCAGUGGGGAAUAUUGCACAAUGGGCGGAAGCCUGAUGCAGCAACGCCGCGUGCGGGAUGACGGCCUUCGGGUUGUAAACCGCUUUCGCCUGUGACGAAGCGUGAGUGACGGUAAUGGGUAAAGAAGCACCGGCUAACUACGUGCCAGCAGCCGCGGUGAUACGUAGGGUGCGAGCGUUGUCCGGAUUUAUUGGGCGUAAAGGGCUCGUAGGUGGUUGAUCGCGUCGGAAGUGUAAUCUUGGGGCUUAACCCUGAGCGUGCUUUCGAUACGGGUUGACUUGAGGAAGGUAGGGGAGAAUGGAAUUCCUGGUGGAGCGGUGGAAUGCGCAGAUAUCAGGAGGAACACCAGUGGCGAAGGCGGUUCUCUGGGCCUUUCCUGACGCUGAGGAGCGAAAGCGUGGGGAGCGAACAGGCUUAGAUACCCUGGUAGUCCACGCUGUAAACGGUGGGUACUAGGUGUGGGGUCCAUUCCACGGGUUCCGUGCCGUAGCUAACGCUUUAAGUACCCCGCCUGGGGAGUACGGCCGCAAGGCUAAAACUCAAAGGAAUUGACGGGGCCCCGCACAAGCGGCGGAGCGUGCGGAUUAAUUCGAUGCAACGCGUAGAACCUUACCUGGGUUUGACAUGGAUCGGGAGUGCCCAGAGAUGGGUGUGCCUCUUUUGGGGUCGGUUCACAGGUGGUGCACGGCUGUCGUCAGCUCGUGUCGUGAGAUGUUGGGUUAAGUCCCGCAACGAGCGCAACCCUUGUUCACUGUUGCCAGCACGUUAUGGUGGGGACUCAGUGGAGACCGCCGGGGUCAACUCGGAGGAAGGUGGGGAUGACGUCAAGUCAUCAUGCCCCUUAUGUCCAGGGCUUCACGCAUGCUACAAUGGCUGGUACAGAGAGUGGCGAGCCUGUGAGGGUGAGCGAAUCCCGGAAAGCCGGUCUCAGUUCGGAUUGGGGUCUGCAACUCGACCUCAUGAAGUCGGAGUCGCUAGUAAUCGCAGAUCAGCAACGCUGCGGUGAAUACGUUCCCGGG